rnacentral:rRNA from 1 species
GUAAGGAAUAUUGGACAAUGGACGCAAGUCUGAUCCAGCCAUGCCGCGUGAAGGAUUAAGGUCCUCUGGAUUGUAAACUUCUUUUAUAAGGGACGAAAAAAGGCUUUUCUAAGUCGUCUGACGGUACCUUAUGAAUAAGCACCGGCUAACUCCGUGCCAGCAGCCGCGGUAAUACGGAGGGUGCAAGCGUUAUCCGGAUUCACUGGGUUUAAAGGGUGCGUAGGCGGGCAGGUAAGUCAGUGGUGAAAUCCUAGAGCUUAACUCUAGAACUGCCAUUGAUACUAUCUGUCUUGAAUAUUGUGGAGGUAAGCGGAAUAUGUCAUGUAGCGGUGAAAUGCAUAGAUAUGACAUAGAACACCGAUAGCGAAGGCAGCUCACUAGGUCUGGAUUGACGCUCAGGGACGAAAGCGUGGGGAGCAAACAGGAUUAGAUACCCGUGUAGUCC